AGAUGUUAAAAAUUAUUCGCCCUAAAUCAUUUUCUCUUUUCUUCCUCAAACUCGAGCCGCUUCUAGUCGAUUCUCAACCCUAGCAACUCGUCUCUUUCGUCUGAUUCUCACAUAUUUCGGACCACUAGGAGCAAAUAAUGCUAAUAGAAAGAAAAGAUCGACUUUCUUUUCAUUGUGUAGAGAAUCUGCAAAUUUCAAGAGAAUCUCAUCAUUAGAAAUAGAGGUUGGUGGAGUUCUCAAGCGUCGUGGAGACCUUUAGUUUUCUAUUGUUUUGUUUUGUCCCUUGUAUUGUUUUGUUUGGUCAAUCUGGGGUUGGUCUUUUUCGGUUUUGUUGAAUAUGUUUGUUUUGCUGGUAAAUGUGGAUUUUUCAGGUCAUAUCCGAAAAAUUCAAAAAUAAUUAGAUAA